rnacentral:misc_RNA from 1 species
GGUUCGAUUAUGGCUCAGAUUGAACGCUGGCGGGAUGCUUUACACAUGCAAGUCGAACGGCAGCACGGACUUCGGUCUGGUGGCGAGGCGAACGGGUGAGUAAUGUAUCGGAACGUGCCUAGUGUGAUAACUACGCGAAAGCGUAGCUAAUACUGCACACAACUGGGGAAAGCGGGGACCUUCGGGCCUCGCAAUUAUUAGAGCGGCCGAUAUCGGAUUAGCUAGUUGGUGGGGGUAACGGCUCACUAAGGUGACGAUCCGUAGCUGGUUUGAGAGGACGACCAGCCACACUGGGACUGAGACACGGCCCAGACUCCUACGGGAGGCAGCAGGGGAAUUUCCGACAAUGGGGGAACCCUGAUCCAGCCAUCCCGCGUGUGCGAUGAAGGCCUUCGGGUUGUAAAGCACUUUUGGCAGGAAAGAAACGGCACGGGAUAAUACCCGCAACUGAUUACCUGCAGAAUAAGCACCGGCUAACUACGCGCUGCCAGCAGCCGGUAAUACGUAGGGUGCAAGCGUUAAUCGGAAUUACUGGCGUAAAGCGUGCGCAGGCGGUUCGGAAAGAAAGAUGUGGAAUCCCAGAGCUUAACUUUGGAACUGCAUUUUUAACUACCGAGCUAGAGUGUGUCAGAGGGAGGUGGAAUUCCGCGUGUAGCAGUGAAAUGCAUAGAUAUGCGGAGGAACACCGAUGGCGAAGGCAGCCUCCUGGGAUAACACUGACGCUCAUGCACGAAAGUGGAGCAAACAGGAUUAGAUACCCUGGUAGUCCACGCCCUAAACGAUGUCAACUAGCUUGGGGCCUUCGGGCCUUGUAGCGCAGCUAACGCAUGAAGUUGACCGCCUGGGGAGUACGGUCGCAAGAUUAAAACUCAAAGGAAUUGACGGGGACCCGCACAAGCGGUGGAUGAGUGGAUUAAUUCGAUGCAACGCGAAACCUUACCUACCCUUGACAUGUCUGGAAUCCCGGAAGAGAUUUGGGAGUGCUCGCAAGAGAACUGGAACACAGGUGCUGCAUGGCUGUCGUCAGCUCGUGUCGUGAGAUGUUGGGUUAAGUCCCGCAACGAGCGCAACCCUUGUCAUUAGUUGCUACGAAAGGGCAC